GUUUGGUUAUCCAAAAGUAAUUAUGCGAAUGAUGAAUUCAGAACGAAAGCUGAAUACCGACAUGGCCGAUUGUGGGAGGUUGAUGGGAAUAUAAAGAUGAAAUACCAACGUAUUGGCCGAGUUUGAAAAAACCAGAGAGUUUGAAGGCGGCGAAAGAGUUCUUUUUGUACGAAUGGGCGAGACACGGAUUUCAAACCGGCAUGAGUGCACGAAUGUAUCUCUUUUACGCACUUGCCAUUAGAGCUGCAAUAACAGAUAAUUUCGACAUACCCAUUGGAGUUCCAAUCUCAUUGAAAGAAGCGUUCAAGCGCAUAAGAGAAGUGAUGGGUAAGCUAUGGUUAUUUGGGAAACCAGUAGGGGCAGAACUGAAUCCGGAGAUACACAUUGGAAUUGGUAUGAUUGAUAAUGCUCACAUGAUCAAUGACAUACGACUACCGUUUUUACGGUCGAUGAAUGAGAGAAGUAAAGCUGCAUUUGUAUAUACUGGUGCAAAACUGAAAAAUGAAUCUCCAAAAGCAACAACCAUAGAUGAACACACUUUAGUGAUUUUACCCUAAAAAAAACAGAUGGAGCAGCUGCUUGCGAUUGCGAAAAGUCGAG